rnacentral:rRNA from 1 species
AGUGAACGCUGGCGGUAUGCCUAACACAUGCAAGUCGAACGGCAGCACAGUAAGCUCUUGCUCUUGCGGUUGGCGGGUGGCGGGCGGGUGAGAAGUGGAUCGGAAUCUACUUUUUCUUGGGGGAUAACGGAAGGAAGCUGACGCUAAUACCUCAUACAACCUACGGCUGGAAUCAAUGGAGCUUCGCGCCUUUCGCGUCUGAAUGAGACGGAGUCGGAUUAGCUAGUUGGCAGGGUAAAGGCCCACCAAGGCAACGAUGCGUAGCUGGCCUGAGAGGAUGAUCAGCCACACUGGAACUGAGACACGGUCCAGACUCCUACGGGAGGCAGCAGUGGGGAAUAUUGGACAAUGGGCGAAAGCCUGACCCAGCCAUGCCGCGUGGGUGAAGAAGGCCUUCGGGUCGUAAAGCCCUUUUGUUGGGAAAGAAAAGCAGCAGGUUAAUACCUCGCUGUUCUGACGGUACCCAAAGAAUAAGCACCGGCUAACUUCGUG